GUACCGAGGCGGCGCACCCCGCAGCCGCCCCCCGGGGCCGGGCCGCCUUCCCCCGCGCUGCCCUCCGCACCGCUCCGCGCUGCCCCACCCGGCGCGGCUGUCCGCGGGCUGAGCCGCCGGGGCGGGGCGAGCGGGCGGGGAGAGGCGCUGCGCGGCGCUGCGCGUCCCCCGCCGCGGCCUCCCGCCCCGCUAUAAGAGGAGCGGCCGCGGCUGCACUCCGCAGUGCAUGGCAGUGUUUCGUCUGGGACGUCGCGGUCCCGCCGGGACCCUCCCCCGGGUCGGUCCCGGGCGUCCUCCUUCCCGCCUCGCCCCCUCCCAGCCGCCGACACCCUUGACCUUGCCAUCCGGCAGCUCGGGAGGGAGAGCGGCGGCAGCCGGGGGGAUAGCCGUACUGGGUCGCGGAGCUGCCCUGGGAUGCGUUAGCCGGCGGAUCGCACAGAAAUAUCUCUCCUAGGAAGGAGAGAGGCAACCUCCUCCCACUGACGGGGUGGGGGAGGAAGAAAAAGAGGAUUUAAGGAGCAUCUUUGCCUCUUUUGUUGAAUGAGGACGGAGAAGGACCAGCAAGAUGAGCACUAGCACAGUUCCCUAUCAGCAAAACCCCUACACUCCUGGGAGCAGCUCCACCGUCAUCCAGUGCUACCGCUGUGGGGACACCUGCAAGGGCGAGGUGGUACGUGUCCAGAGCAAUCACUUCCACAUCCGCUGCUUCACCUGCCAAGUGUGCGGCUGUGACCUGGCCCAGUCGGGCUUCUUCUUUAAGAACCAGGAGUACAUCUGCACCCACGACUACCAGCAGCUCUACGGGACCCGCUGUGAUAGCUGCGGGGACUUCAUCACCGGAGAGGUCAUCUCUGCGCUGGGGAGGACCUACCACCCCAAGUGCUUUGUCUGCAGCACCUGCAGGAAGCCGUUCCCCAUUGGAGACAAGGUCACGUUCAGUGGGAAGGACUGCGUCUGCCAAAACUGCUCCCACUCUCUCAUCAGCACCAAACCCAUCAAGAUCCAUGGGCCCAGCCACUGCGCAGGCUGCAAGGAGGAGAUCAAGCAAGGCCAGUCCCUCCUGGCCCUGGAGAAGCAGUGGCACGUCAGCUGCUUCAAGUGCCAAACGUGCGGGAUCAUCCUCACCGGCGAGUACAUCAGCAAGGAUGGCGUCCCAUACUGUGAGUCUGACUACCAUGCCCAGUUCGGCAUCAAGUGUGAGACCUGCGACCGGUACAUCAGCGGCAGGGUCCUGGAGGCAGGAGGGAAGCACUACCACCCCACCUGUGCCAGAUGUGUCCGCUGCCACCAGAUGUUCACAGAAGGAGAGGAGAUGUACCUCACAGGCUCUGAAGUGUGGCACCCCAUCUGCAAGCAGGCAGCCAGAGCAGAGAAGAAGCUAAAGCACAGAAGAACGUCAGAAACCUCCAUCUCACCCCCUGGUUCCAGCAUUGGCUCCCCAAACCGCGUCAUCUGCGCUAAAGUGGAUAAUGAGAUCCUUAAUUACAAAGACCUGGCAGCUCUUCCCAAGAUUAAAGCCAUCUAUGAAGUCCAGCGUCCUGACCUCAUUUCCUACGAGCCCUAUCACAGAUACACGUCGGAUGAGACGCUGGAGAGAUAUAGCUAUGGGGAGUCCCUGGGGACCCUCUCCCCGUACUCACAGGACAUCUACGAGAGCUUUGACACGCGGCAGAGGCGAGCCUCCAGCCCUGGCUACAUCGACUCCCCCACCUACAGCCGCCAGGGCAUGUCCCCCACCAUUCCGAGGUCCCCCCACCAUUUCUACCGCUCAGCUGCCGGCGAGAGUAACAUCUACCGGAAACCCCCCAUCUAUAAGCGACACGCAACGAAAAGCAAAACCAGUGAAGACAUUGCACAGUCAUCCAAGUACAGCCCUGCCUACUCCCCUGACCCGUAUUACCAUUCCGAGUCAGAGUACUGGUCCUUCCAAGGCUCCCCCAAAGCCCCCCGGGCCCGGAGGUUCUCGUCAGGAGGUGAGGAGGACGGGUAUGACCGAGGCAUGCACAAGAUCCAGAGUGGCAUCGGCAGGCUGAUCCUGAGGGAGGAGAUGAAGGCUCGGUCCAACUCCUACGCAGACCCCUGGACACCCCCUCGCAGCUCGGCCAGCAGCAGAGAAGCCCUGCACACGGCUGGCUACGAGGGCUCCCUCAAUGGCUCUCCCCGGAUGCACUACCUGGCCGACAGCGAUCCCCUCAUUUCUAAGUCGGCCUCCCUCCCUGCCUACAGGAGGAACGGGCUGCACAGGCCUCCCAGUGCCGAGCUUUUCCACUACGACAGCACGAACGCCGUCAACUGGGGGAUGCGAGAGUACAAGGUAAGAUGCUCCCACUCCAAGGAGCGGCUGCCAGCUGGAGGUGCAAGUACCACCCAGAGGGAGUCCCAGAGACGUGUCCAUGUGUCCCCAGGCCCUUCAGGAAGAAACUUUUGCCCUCUGCCCGCAAUGCCCUACCUUCAUUCCCCUCCAUCCCCCACCUGAAAGCCCCGUCCCAGGACUGUGGGGCUCAGACCAGAGUCCUUCCCCUCCUGCCAGGGUCCCAAGCACUUGGCCAAGCAGAAUUGUCUCCUGGGUGAGGAACAGAGAAGGGUGGUUGUGCUGGUGGUUCCCUACUCACACCCAUCCCUGGGCCACUCCUGGUUUUGCAGAGUGAGCAGGCUAUUCCAGAGCCACUGAGGUGAUUUGGGGUGGAUUAGGGUCACCCUGAGAUCAAGUCCCCCCUCUGCCUUGUCCCAUCCAAGCCCUGGAGGCAGCUGUGCCACCCAAACUCUGCUAUGGCAGGGAAGGCUUUGGCCUGGUGGCCCCCAUGGCCCCAUUCCCAGGUGUGCCCCAACUGUCCUCUUCUGGCUCCAGAGCUACCCCAUGGUCUUUCUGUUCCCGUGCAGAUAUACCCCUAUGAGCUGCUCCUGGUGAAGACGAGGGGGAGGAACCAGCUGCCCAAAGAUGUGGACAGGACUCGGUUAGAGCGCCACCUCUCCCAGGAGGAGUUCUACCAGAUCUUUGGCAUGACCAUCGCCGAGUUCGACCGCCUGGCCCUCUGGAAGAGGAACGAGCUGAAGAAGCAGGCUCGGCUGUUUUAAAUGCAGUGCACUAUAAAUAUAUACAUACCUAUAAAUAUAUACAUAGAAAGAUCUCUAUAUUGCAGCUCUGUAUGAUUCUCAGUGCUGUAUGUGGCAGAGGCGCCCUCUGCACCCCUGAGAGUGAAUUGGAGUUUUGCAGAUCAUGCUCUUU